rnacentral:rRNA from 1 species
GCUCCAAUAGCGUAUAUUAAAUUUGUUGCGGUUAAGAAGCUCGUAGUUGGAUUUCUGCCGAGGACGACCGGUCCGCCCUCUGGGUGAGUAUCUGGCUCGGCCUGGGCAUCUUCUUGAAGAACGUAGCUGCACUUGAUUGUGUGGUGCGGUAUCCAGGACUUUUACUUUGAGGAGAUUAGAAUGUUUCAAGCAGGCAUACGCCUUGAAUACAUUGGCAUGGAAUAAUAAGAUAGGACCUCGGUUCUAUUUUGUUGGUUUCUAGAGCUGAGGUAAUGAUUAAUAGGGAUAGUUGGGUGCGUUCGUAUUUGACUGUCAGAGGUGAAAUUCUUGGAUUUGGUAAAGACGGACUACUGCGAAAGGAUUUGCCAAGGAUGCUUUCA